GACGUAGGGUCCAAGCGUUGUCCGGAUUUACUGGGCGUAAAGGGCGCGUAGGCGGCCACCGCAAGUCAAUUGUGAAAUCUCCGGGCUUAACUCGGAAAGGUCAACUGAUACUGCGGGGCUAGAGUGCGGAAGGGGCAACUGGAAUUCUCGGUGUAGCGGUGAAAUGCGUAGAUAUUGGGAGGAACACCAGUGGCGAAGGCGGCUCGCUGGACCGGUUCUGACGCUGAGGCGCGAAAGCCAGGGGAGCAAACGGG
rnacentral:rRNA from 1 species